UGGGGAAUAUUGCACAAUGGGCGCAAGCCUGAUGCAGCCAUGCCGCGUGUAUGAAGAAGGCCUUCGGGUUGUAAAGUACUUUCAGCGGGGAGGAAGGGAGUAAAGUUAAUACCUUUACUCAUUGACGUUACCCGCAGAAGAAGCACCGGCUAACUCCGUGCCAGCAGCCGCGGUAAUACGGAGGGUGCAAGCGUUAAUCGGAAUUACUGGGCGUAAAGCGCACGCAGGCGGUCUGUCAAGUCGGAUGUGAAAUCCCCGGGCUUAACCCGGGAAUUGCAUCUGAUACUGGUCAGCUAGAGUCUUGUAGAGGGGGGUAGAAUUCCAUGUGUAGCGGUGAAAUGCGUAGAGAUGUGGAGGAAUACCGGUGGCGAAGGCGGCCCCCUGGACAAAGACUGACGCUCAGGUGCGAAAGCGUGGGGAGCAAACAGG
rnacentral:rRNA from 1 species